ACGGAAGGCAGCAGUGAGGGAUAUUGCACAAUGGGCGAAAGCCUGAUGCAGCAACGCCGCGUGAGGGAUGAUGGUCUUCGGAUUGUAAACCUCUGUCUUCAGUGAUGAAUUUUGACAUUAGCUGAGGAGGAAGCCACGGCUAACUACGUGCCAGCAGCCGCGGUAAUACGUAGGUGGCAAGCGUUGUCCGGAUUUACUGGGUGUAAAGGGAGCGCAGGCGGGAGAGCAAGUCAGUGGUGAAAUGUAUGGGCUUAACCCAUGAACUGCCAUUGAAACUGUUUUUCUUGAGUGAAGUAGAGGCAAGCGGAAUUCCGAGUGUAGCGGUGAAAUGCGUAGAUAUUCGGAGGAACACCAGUGGCGAAGGCGGCUUGCUGGGCUUUUACUGACGCUGAGGCUCGAAAGUAUGGGGAGCAAACAGGAUUAGAUACCCUGGUA
rnacentral:rRNA from 1 species